GGAAUCCUCCACAAUGGACGCAAGUCUGAUGGAGCAACGCCGCGUGAGUGAAGAAGGGUUUCGGCUCGUAAAACNCUGUUGUAAGAGAAGAAUGACAUUGAGAGUAACUGUUCAAUGUGUGACGGUAUCUUACCAGAAAGGAACGGCUAAAUACGUGCCAG
rnacentral:rRNA from 1 species